AAAAAAUCAAUAAAAUAUAUAUAUUUUUAAAAUAACAAAAACACAAAGACCGAUGUCUCCAGAAGAGGAAAACGAGAGGACGAUUAGUAACCCUGAACCCAGCCUAUGCUUCCGAGAAAGAAGACGCUCCUCCCAGAGACAAGGAGACCUCUGAUCCCACUCCCCACUGCUCCCAGAAUUCCUUGGGGGUUUGUGCCUGUGUGUGUAGCGACAGAGACGUUGGGGGAUCCCCUCCGUAGGAAUGAUGAUGUAUUGCCAUUCAUUUCAGAGCUCAAAAGGUCAGCGAAUGAGCAUUCGGCACGGCGGACUUUCGACCGUCCCGGAGCCCGGAUGAGUCAUUGCGGACAAGAACUCAGAAAUGCUCCCAAGUUCGGGGGCCCCUUGAGAGAUCUAAUUCCUAAGAGAGCUGUCUCCUCCCUACUUGUGCACUGUUCCCGCGACUUACAAAUCCACCGCCACUUCCCGUGGCUCCCACUGGUGUGCUCAGCGGGGUGUGUGGAUGUGGGAAGGGGUCUCGCCGAACACUGGGGAAAAGAAAGGAAAUAGUGUUCACCCUCCAAGAAUCCACGUGUUGGGGAGACAGACAGACAAUAGCUAAGGAAUUGAAAUACAGCCAGCCAAGGAUGGCCAGUGAUGACCAUAAUGAUCCGAUGACUGAGUCAUGACAACCCAGGUGAUCAAUGCUGGAGCGAUGGGACCGUAAGCCAGGGGACCAAAGACGGGGGAGUGGGUACGUCUGUGUUGGUUGCAGCCUGAGACCAGGUUAGGGCCUCGAAUAUUCUAGUCCAUCCAAUCCUCAGCUUUUUCCUCGUUCAGUCAGUGCCCUGGGGUUACCUCGUUACUCUCUGGGGUGGGGUCACUUAAAAAUACUUUUGCUGCCCUAACCGGUUUGGCUCAGUGGAUAGAGCGUCAGCCUGUGGACUGAAGGG